CCUACGGAGGGCAGCAGUGGGGAAUAUUGGACAAUGGGCGAAAGCCUGAUCCAGCCAUGCCGCGUGUGUGAAGAAGGCCUUCGGGUUGUAAAGCACUUUCAGUGGGGAAGAAAGCCUUGGGGCUAAUACCCUCGAGGAAGGACAUCACCCACAGAAGAAGAACCGGCUAACUCCGUGCCAGCAGCCGCGGUAAUACGGAGGGUGCGAGCGUUAAUCGGAAUUACUGGGCGUAAAGCGCGCGUAGGCGGUCUGAUAAGCCGGUUGUGAAAGCCCCGGGCUCAACCUGGGAACGGCAUCCGGAACUGUCAGGCUAGAGUGCAGGAGAGGAAGGUAGAAUUCCCGGUGUAGCGGUGAAAUGCGUAGAGAUCGGGAGGAAUACCAGUGGCGAAGGCGGCCUUCUGGACUGACACUGACGCUGAGGUGCGAAAGCGUGGGUAGCAAACAGGAUUAGAUACCCCAGUAGUC
rnacentral:rRNA from 1 species